rnacentral:rRNA from 1 species
GACGUAGGGGGCGAGCGUUGUCCGGAUUUAUUGGGCGUAAAGCGUGCAUAGGCGGCUGCGCAAGUCGGGUGUGAAACCCCGGGGCUCAACCCCGGAACUGCAUCCGAUACUGCGUGGCUAGAGGUAGGUAGGGGAGAUCGGAAUUCCUGGUGUAGCGGUGAAAUGCGCAGAUAUCAGGAGGAACACCGGUGGCGAAGGCGGUUCUCUGGGCCGAUACUGACGCUGAGGAGCGAAAGCGUGGGGAGCGAACAGG